CAAAAGAAGAGUUUGAUCCUUGCUCAGAAGGAACGCUAGCUUUCUGCUUAACACAUGCAAGUCAAACAUUUUUUUCGGGGAGAUGGACAGAAGGAAAAGAGGAUCCUAGCUAAAGGUAGCUUGUCUCGCCCAGGAGGUGAGAAGAGUUGAGAACAAAGUGGCAAGCGGGUGCGUAACGCGUGGUAAUCCGCCGAACAGCUAAGGCCAAAUCCUGAAGAAAGGUAAAAAGCGUUGUUUGAUGACCUUGCGCACUAUUUGGUAGUUUGUCAGGUAAAGGUUGACCAAGACAAUGAUGCUUAGUUGGUCUUUUCGGAUGAUCAACCACACUAGUACUGAGACACGGCUCGGACUCCCAGGGGGCAGCAGUGGGGAAUCUUGGACAAUGGGAAAAAGCUCGAUCUAACAAUAUUGCGUGAGUGAAGAAGGGCAAUUCCGCUUGUAAAGAUCUUUUGUGGAGUGCGUGAUCAUGACAUGACUCGAGGAAGAAGCCCUACCUAACUCCGUGCCAGCAGCCACGGUAAGAAAGGGGUGGCAAGUGUUCUUCGGAAUGACUGGGCGUAAAGGGCACAGUGAAGCUGAAUCGGGUAGAAAGUGAAAGCCACCAAAAACUUGCCGAAUGCUCUUGAAACCAAUUUACUUGAGUGAGACAUAGGAGAGAGGAAUUUCGUGUAUAUGGGUGAAAUCUGCAGAUCUACGAAGGAAGCCAAAAGCGAAGGCAGCUGCCUGGGUCCCUACUGACGCUGAGGUUCCAAAGCAUGGGGAGAGAAUAGGAUUAGAUACCCUAGUAUUCCAUGCCGUAAAUAAUGAGUGUUUGCCCUUGGUCUACGCAUAUCAGGGGUCCAGCUAACGCAUGAAACACUCCGCCUAGGGAAUACGGUCGUAAGACCAAAACCCAAACGAAUUGACGGGGGACUGCACAAACGGUGCAGCAUGUGGUUUAAUUUGAAACAACGCCCCAAACCUUACAAGCCCUUGACAUAUGAACAAGAAAAUCUGUCCUUAACGGAAUGGUACUUACAUUCAUACAAGUGCUACAUGGCAGUCGUCAGCUCGUGUCGUGAGAUGUUUGGUCAAGUCCUUUAACGUGCGAAACCCUCAUUUUGGUUGCUGAGACAUGCGCCUUAGAAGAAAGUAUUUGCAAUCGAAGUGAGACGAGGAGCCGAGUGACGUGCCAGCGCUACUAAUUGAGUGCCAACACCUAGUUGUGUUGUAAGUAAAAAGGUAGCCAACGCCUUUUGAAGCUAUUUCUAUCUCUAGUGAGCGCUAUUUUUUUAUUGCAGCUAGCGCGCUUGACUAAUAAGAUAGAAAGGGCCUUUCUCGCUUGUUUAGUAAAGUCAUGUUCUUGGCAUUAUCUUGCAGGUGACGAGGACGUCGAGUUGACGGCAAAGAAUGACUCGGCAUUCAGGCGAACCACCCGGUGGUGUUGUAUUUAGUGGGUUUAGUACGCCCCACCUUAAUUAACGUCUCAGAAACAAACAAAAAGGAGUGUGCCUCACUCACGAAGGACUAACAGUGAUAUAUUGGAUGAAGUUGGGGAUGACGUCAAGACCGCAUGGCCUUUAUGGGCUGGGCCACAAACGUUCUACAAUGGCAAUUACAAAGGGAAGCAAGGUUGUAAGGCGGAGCGAAUACAGAAAGAUUGCCUCAUUUAAGAUUGUUCUCUCCAACUCAGGAACAUGAAGUUGGAAUCACUAGUAAUCACAGACCUGCAUGCCGCGGUGAAUAUGUACCAGAGCCCUGUACACACCGCCCGUCACAGCCUUUGAAUUUGUUUUGCCUGAAGCAUCAGACCUAUGAUCACCCAUGGCUUCUGUGGCACACUAGUGCCACAAAGUCCUUUGGUGGUCUUAUUGGCGCAUACCACAAAGGGGUCUUCGACUGGGAUUAAGUCGUAACAAAGUAGCCGUAGGGGAAGCUGUGGCUGGAUUGACUCUUUC
rfam:Solanum lycopersicum cultivar Heinz 1706 chromosome 11, whole genome shotgun sequence.